rnacentral:rRNA from 1 species
GGAAUAUUGGUCAAUGGGCGCAAGCCUGAACCAGCCAAGUCGCGUGAAGGAUGAAGGCUCUAUGGGUUGUAAACUUCUUUUAUAGGGGAAUAAAGUGGAGUAUGUAUACUCUUUUGUAUGUACCCUAUGAAUAAGGAUCGGCUAACUCCGUGCCAGCAGCCGCGGUAAUACGGAGGAUCCGAGCGUUAUCCGGAUUUAUUGGGUUUAAAGGGUGCGUAGGUGGGCUAUUAAGUCAGUUGUGAAAUAUUGCGGCUCAACCGUAAGUGUGCAGUUGAUACUGGUAGCCUUGAGUACAUUGGAGGUGGGCGGAAUUCGUGGUGUAGCGGUGAAAUGCUUAGAUAUCACGAAGAACUCCAAUUGCGAAGGCAGCUCACUGUACUGUUACUGACGCUGAUGCACGAAAGUGUGGGUAUCAAACAGGAUUAGAUACCCUGGUAGUCCACACAGUAAACGAUGAAUACUCGCUGUUUGCGAUACACAGUAAGCGGCCAAGCGAAAGCGUUAAGUAUUCCACCUGGGGAGUACGCCGGCAACGGUGAAACUCAAAGGAAUUGACGGGGGCCCGCACAAGCGGAGGAACAUGUGGUUUAAUUCGAUGAUACGCGAGGAACCUUACCCGGGCUUGAAUUGCAUUUGAAUAUGCCGGAAACGGUAUAGCCGCAAGGGCAAAUGUGAAGGUGCUGCAUGGUUGUCGUCAGCUCGUGCCGUGAGGUGUCGGCUUAAGUGCCAUAACGAGCGCAACCCUUAUCGAUAGUUACUAACAGGUUAUGCUGAGGACUCUAUUGAGACUGCCGUCGUAAGAUGUGAGGAAGGUGGGGAUGACGUCAAAUCAGCACGGCCCUUACGUCCGGGGCUACACACGUGUUACAAUGGGGGGUACAGCGGGUCGCUACCGGGCAACCGGAUGCUAAUCAUUAAAACCCUUCUCAGUUCGGAUCGAAGUCUGCAACCCGACUUCGUGAAGCUGGAUUCGCUAGUAAUCGCGCAUCA